rnacentral:rRNA from 1 species
ACAAUGCGGAACAUCUGUUUUGCAAUUGGAUUGAGAACAACGUACAAUCGUUAUCGAUAAACAAUUGGAGGGCAAGUCUGGUGCCAGCAGCCGCGGUAAUUCCAGCUCCAAUAGCGUAUAUUAACGUUGUUGCAGUUAAAAAGCUCGUAGUUGAAGUGAAGGUGUUUGUAUUUUGUUUGGCUUUGGCCAUUUAAUUUAUAAACUCCUCCUUCCAAUGUCUAUGUGUGGGUAUUCAUUUAUCUAUACAUGGGAGUUGGUCAUUUACUGUGAGAAAAGUAGAGUGUUCAAAGCAUACGUUCGUUUGAAUACAUUAGCAUGGAAUAAUCUUAUAAGGCUUUCAUGGUCGAUUUGAUUGGUUUGUUCGUGAAAGCAAGAUUAAAAGGGACAGUUGGGGGUAUUCAUAUUCAAUAGUCAGAGGUGAAAUUCUCGGAUUUAUGGAA